GUCGAGGGGCAGCACGGUAUAGCAAUAUAUGGGUGGCGACCGGCAAACGGGUGCGGAACACGUACACAACCUUCCGGUGAGAGGGGGAUAGCCCAGAGAAAUUUGGAUUAAUACCCCAUACUAUAAUGGUCAGGCAUCUGAUUAUUAUCAAAGGCUUCGGCCGCUUAUUGAUGGGUGUGCGUCUGAUUAGGUAGUUGGCGGGGUAGAGGCCCACCAAGCCUACGAUCAGUAGCUGAUGUGAGAGCAUGAUCAGCCACACGGGCACUGAGACACGGGCCCGACUCCUACGGGAGGCAGCAGUAAGGAAUAUUGGACAAUGGACGCAAGUCUGAUCCAGCCAUGCCGCGUGAAGGAUGAAUGCCCUCUGGGUUGUAAACUUCUUUUACAGGGGAAGAAAGUUAUCUUUUUCAGGAUAUUUGACGGUACCCUAUGAAUAAGCACCGGCUAACUCCGUGCCAGCAGCCGCGGUAAUACGGAGGGUGCAAGCGUUAUCCGGAUUCACUGGGUUUAAAGGGUGCGUAGGCGGGUAUGUAAGUCAGUGGUGAAAUACCGGAGCUUAACUUCGGAACUGCCAUUGAUACUAUAUAUCUGGAAUAUUGUGGAGGUAAGCGGAAUAUGUCAUGUAGCGGUGAAAUGCUUAGAGAUGACAUAGAACACCGAUUGCGAAGGCAGCUUGCUACGCAAAUA
rnacentral:rRNA from 1 species